rnacentral:lncRNA from 1 species
AGGGCCUCUUGGAGGGUAACUACUUCAGCGGCCUUUUCUUUGAGGCAAGCGACUUCGGCCCGGUGAUGCUCCUCCGCCUGGAUGGCAUCCCUCCUCGCCCGGUUUGUCACCUCAAUGUUGGCAAGGAGCUGGUGCCCAAUCUGCAAGGGCAGCUAGGGGAUCAGAACAAGGGUCGGAAAGCCAAUUAAAUGAAGACUUAUUUACCUCAAGAAAGGAC